GAUGAACGCUGGCGGCGUGCCUAAUACAUGCAAGUCGAGCGAACAGACGAGGAGCUUGCUCCUCUGACGUUAGCGGCGGACGGGUGAGUAACACGUGGAUAACCUACCUAUAAGACUGGGAUAACUUCGGGAAACCGGAGCUAAUACCGGAUAAUAUAUUGAACCGCAUGGUUCAAUAGUGAAUGACGGUUUUGCUGUUACUUAUAGAUGGAUCCGCGCCGCAUUAGCUAGUUGGUAAGGUAACGGCUUACCAAGGCAACGAUGCGUAGCCGACCUGAGAGGGUGAUCGGCCACACUGGAACUGAGACACGGUCCAGACUCCUACGGGAGGCAGCAGUAGGGAAUCUUCCGCAAUGGGCGAAAGCCUGACGGAGCAACGCCGCGUGAGUGAUGAAGGUCUUCGGAUCGUAAAACUCUGUUAUUAGGGAAGAACAAAUGUGUAAGUAACUAUGCACGUCUUGACGGUACCUAAUCAGAAAGCCACGGCUAACUACGUG
rnacentral:rRNA from 1 species